GAGCACGUAGGUGGGUUUGUAAGUCAGAUGUGAAAGCCUUCUGUUCAACGGGAGAAUUGCAUCUGAAACUACAGACCUUGAGUAUAGGAGGGGAGAAUGGAACUUCUGGUGGAGCGGUGAAAUGCGUAGAUAUCAGAAGGAACGCCGGCGGCAAAAGCGAUUCUCUGGCCUAUUACUGACACUCAGUGUGCGAAAGCUAGGGGAGCAAACGGGAUUAGAUACCCCGGUAGUCCUAGCCGUAAACGAUGGGCACUAAGUAGAGGGGU
rnacentral:rRNA from 1 species